rnacentral:rRNA from 1 species
UACGAAGGGGGCUAGCGUUGCUCGGAAUCACUGGGCGUAAAGCGCACGUAGGCGGAUUGCUAAGUCAGGGGUGAAAUCCUGGAGCUCAACUCCAGAACUGCCUUUGAUACUGGCGAUCUCGAGUCCAGGAGAGGUGAGUGGAACUGCGAGUGUAGAGGUGAAAUUCGUAGAUAUCGCAAGAACACCAGUGGCGAAGGCGGCUCACUGGCCCGGUACUGACGCUGAGGUGCGAAAGCGUGGGGAGCAAACAGG